CACGAUUGAACGACGACAAUCGAGUGCUCGAAGAAGCCUGAGUCAGAGUUUGUGCAAGUAUAGAAGGAUGGAGAGCAACCACAGGGACCAGCAGCCACCGGCAGGCUACCCGACGGCAGUGGGCACGGUGCCGGCGAGUGGCGACGGCUCGCCGUGCCGGGAAGAGACAAGGCAACGCGGCCGGAAAACUGGUUUCCUCGAUGCAUGUGUCGCCGCACUGUGCUGCUGCUGGCUGUGCGACCUGUGCUGCGUCUAGAUCGGACGGCGAAAACACGAGUUCAAUUGCUUAGGAGGCAAGUUUUGAUCAGCGCUUCCUUAUCAAGAGUGUCCAGAAUCCAUGAGUUAUAUCAUGUCGUUAUGUGGCUGGUUUGUAUCAUGUGUGUUUGUUGUGACUCAGCCCUUCUCUGUUUUUCUUCAUUUCGGAUUGGGGGGUGUAACCAUCCAUCAUCGCUAGUGAUGUACUGUAAUGCAAUGUUAAUGACUUUGUUUGCUCAA